UACGUAGGGACCAAGCGUUGUUCGGAUUUACUGGGCGUAAAGAGCGCGCAGGCGGUCGAUCAAGUCGCGUGUGAAAGCCCCCGGCUCAACUGGGGAGGGUCACGCGAUACUGAUCGACUCGAAGGCAGGAGAGGGUAGUGGAAUUCCCGGUGUAGUGGUGAAAUGCGUAGAUAUCGGGAGGAACACCAGUGGCGAAGGCGACUACCUGGCCUGUUCUUGACGCUGAGGCGCGAAAGCUAGGGGAGCAAACGGG
rnacentral:rRNA from 1 species